GAUGAACGCUCGCGGCAGGCCUAAUACAUGCAAGUCGAACGGGAUCCAGAUCAAAGCUUGCUUUGGUCUGGUGAGAGUGGCGCACGGGUGCGUAACGCGUGAGCAACCUACCCUUGUCAGGGGGAUAGCCCGGCGAAAGUCGGAUUAAUACCGCAUGACAUCAUUGAGAGGCAUCUUUCGAUGAUCAAAGAUUUAUCGGACAAGGAUGGGCUCGCGUGACAUUAGCUAGUUGGUAAGGUAACGGCUUACCAAGGCUGCGAUGUCUAGGGGCUCUGAGAGGAGCAUCCCCCACACUGGUACUGAGACACGGACCAGACUCCUACGGGAGGCAGCAGUAAGGAAUAUUGGUCAAUGGACGGAAGUCUGAACCAGCCAUGCCGCGUGCAGGAAGACGGCCCUAUGGGUUGUAAACUGCUUUUAUACGGGAACAAACGUCGGUACGUGUACCGGUCUGAGUGUACCGUAAGAAUAAGGAUCGGCUAACUCCGUG
rnacentral:rRNA from 1 species